rnacentral:rRNA from 1 species
AUUGAACGCUGGCGGCAUGCUUUACACAUGCAAGUCGAACGGUAACAGGCCGCAAGGUGCUGACGAGUGGCGAACGGGUGAGUAAUGCAUCGGAACGUGCCCAGUCGUGGGGGAUAACGCAGCGAAAGCUGUGCUAAUACCGCAUACGAUCUAUGGAUGAAAGCGGGGGACCGUAAGGCCUCGCGCGAUUGGAGCGGCCGAUGUCAGAUUAGGUAGUUGGUGGGGUAAAGGCCUACCAAGCCGACGAUCUGUAGCUGGUCUGAGAGGACGACCGGCGACACUGGGACUGAGGCACGGCCCAGACUCCUACGGGAGGCAGCAGUGGGGAAUUUUGGACAAUGGGCGCAAGCCUGAUCCAGCAAUGCCGCGUGCAGGAAGAAGGCCUUCGGGUUGUAAACUGCUUUUGUACGGAACGAAACGGCCUGGGUUAAUACCCUGGGCUAAUGACGGUACCGUAAGAAUAAGCACCGGCUAACUACGUGCCAGCCGCCGCGGUAAAAC